GGCCUGUUGGUCAAGCGGUUAAGACACCGCCCUUUCACGGCGGUAACACGGGUUCGAAUCCCGUACGGGUCA
rnacentral:tRNA from 3 species